AUCUGGCUCUUUCAGGGUCCGAGUUGUAAUUUUAAGAACUGUUUUCCGUGCUGGACCAUUUCUAAGUCUGUUGAAAAAUAGCAUCAUUGAGGGUGAUAAUCCCGUUCAUGAUAUGGACUACCAGUGCAAUGUGAUACAGUUUCUAAGAGUCGAGUUGUUUGGGAAUGCAGCUCAAAGUGGGUGGUAAAUUCCAUCUAAGGCUAAAUAUAGGUGAGAGACCGAUAGCAUACAAGUACCGUGAGGGAAAGAUGAAAAGAACUUUGGAAAGAGAGUUAACAGUACGUGAAAUUGUUGUAAGAGAAACAAUUAAAGUUAGCCUUGUGCUUGUUAGUUCAGCUCUUUAACUAGGGUGUAUUCUAAUGAUGUCACGGACCAACAUCAGUUCUUGGGUGCUGGAAAAGGGCUCCAGAAAUGUAGCAGUUUUGGCUGUGUUAUAGUCUGGGGUUUGGAUACAGUGCUUGGGACUGAGGAUAUCUGCAGCAAGC
rnacentral:rRNA from 1 species